rnacentral:rRNA from 1 species
UACGUAGGGUGCAGGCGUUAAUCGGAAUUACUGGGCGUAAAGGGCGCGUAGGCGGUCCUUCAAGUCAGGCGUGAAAGCCCCGGGCUCAACCUGGGAACCGCGCUUGAGACUGGCGGACUCGAGUUCGGGAGAGGAUGGUGGAAUUCCCAGUGUAGAGGUGAAAUUCGUAGAUAUCGAGAGGAACACCGGUGGCGAAGGCGGCCUUCUGGACAGUGACUGACGCUGAGACGCGAAAGCGUGGGGAGCAAACAGG